UAACUCUACAAGAAAAUAGAAAUAACCUUCCCAUCUCUUUUUCUUUGUAGUCCUCAACACCCCUUCUUCUUUCUCUCUCUAAACCCUAACUUGAGUUGACCCUGCCGCUUUACACUCUUGUCUAUAACUUCUCCGGUUGCUCUCUCUCUCUCUAUCUAUCUCUCUCUCUCAACCUGCCAUCUUGAUGGAUUCCUUGAGGAAUUGUUUCAGAAGCACCAAGGCAGAUCGCCAACCUAACACUACAGUUCGGUCCAAAGUUGGAUCUAGCUCACGAGAAGGAUUUGGGCUGAGGCAAUAUAGCUAUGAUGAACUAGCAGAAUUAACCGAUAAGUUUUCCAACAGAAAACUGCUCGGCGAAGGCGGUUUUAGUCUAGUCUAUGAGGGAACACUAGAUGGGGUAAAAGUUGCUAUUAAGAAACUUAAAAUUCGUCCGGAUGAACGGUCGCAGUCUGAAGAAGAAUCGGUGGAGGAGAUUAAGGUUAUUAGCAGAGUGAGUCACAAAAAUCUCGUUAAGCUGUUCGGAUACUGCAUUGAAGGAGAUGAUAUAUUGCUUAUUUUUUAGUAUGUUCCCAAAAAAAGCUUGAAACAUCAUUUACAUGGAGAGACGACUUUGGAGUGGACAAAAAGAAUGAAAAUCGCCAUAGGAACAGCUAAAGGGUUAGAAUAUUUACAUGAAAACUGUACACCCAAAAUCAUUCAUCGUGAUGUUAAGGCCGAUAAUAUACUUAUUGACGAUAAGUAUGAGCCAAAGAUAGCAGAUUUUGGACUUGCCCUUCUUUUUCGGGAAACUGGUAGCCUCACUCACAUCACUAGAUCAAACAAGGGAACUCAAGUAGCUAAAAGUUUGAAGAAAAGCUAAGCUUUAAGGCUCUUAUUGUGAUGCCCCAUACUCGUCUACUGUAUAGCUGAGCAAGAAGUGCCACAUUCGGUGCCGGAGCACCCUAUAGUGUUUUAUCAUAUCUAUUGUAAACUUUUGAUGUCAUUUAAAACAUAUAUUCUAUGUGUAAAAUUUUUUUUUUACAUUUAUCUUAUUUCUGUGGAGACCCAGACCAAAGCAUUCCCUAUUUUAUUAGCAUCUAGUGGGUUCCAAAAUCACCUAUUAACAUGUCUAUAUUCAUUUCACACAUUUCCAUAUCAUAUUCUCUUGUAUCAUAUCAUUUACAAUUAGUUAUGAGAUCUAAAAAUGAAGUAUUA